rnacentral:lncRNA from 1 species
UUUUUUUUUUUUUUUUUUAAAACAGGACCAACCUCGAUUCCUCUCUUACAAUUAUGAUGAACCCCAACAUCUUACCGGACCGCACUCUGAUAGUGCACUUAUCUGAAUUCAACCUCAGUUUGAAUUAUCUCAACCAGAUGCCCCUCUUCUGUCUGGGACUUUGCUAUCAUGUCAUAGCAUUCGAUUUCAUGAUAAAUCGUAU